GGGCUGUCGGUCUAGAGGUAUGAUUCUCGCUUUGGGGAUAAUGAGCUAAUACAUAAGAUGAUGAACGUUCAUCUCCUGCAAGAGGUCCCGGGCUCAAUCCCCGGACAGCCCC